CAAGUCUCCUCGAACCACAUCCUACAAAUCCACAAUAAUGAAGUUUUGUAAUUAAGCAAUUAAAAUGAUCAUUAAUUCCACUGAUCGCACUUCCAUGCAUGCAUGUCUAGGAUGCAUGAUCUGAUUCAUGUACUAUGGAUUAUUCUCUUCUCUCCAAUUUUGGAAAGCCCACUUCGGUGGUCGUGGUGGCGGCGAGCAAUUGUUU
rnacentral:lncRNA from 1 species